UUACGGGAGGCAGCAGUAAGGAAUAUUGGACAAUGGAGGCAACUCUGAUCCAGCCAUGCCGCGUGAAGGAUGAAGGCGCUACGCGUUGUAAACUUCUUUUCUACCAGAAAAAACUCUUGGUUUCGUACCGAGACUGAUUGUACGGUAGGAAUAAGCAUCGGCUAACUUCGUGCCAGCAGCCGCGGUAAUACGAAGGAUGCAAGCGUUAUCCGGAUUCACUGGGUUUAAAGGGUGUGCAGGUGGGAUAAUAAGUCAGUGGUGAAAGCCCCCGACUCAAUCGGGGAACUGCCAUAGAUACUGUUAUUCUUGAGUGUGGUUGAGGUGGGCGGAAUAUGACAUGUAGCGGUGAAAUGCGUAGAUAUGUCAUAGAACACCGAUCGCGAAGGCAGCUCGCCAAACCAUUACUGACACUGAAACACGAAAGUGCGGGGAUCAAACAGGAUUAGAUACCCCGGUAGC
rnacentral:rRNA from 1 species